rnacentral:lncRNA from 1 species
GUUCAGUAACAUUUCUUGAUCUAAAGUACCUGUCACUACUUGUGACACUGCAUUUCAGACUAAAGAUCAGCCUGGAGCCUUGACUCAAAUGGACCUUGAGCCUCCUGAGAGUGGUUCUGUUUCACGCAGCUGCACUUCAUGUCCCAGGUUGGCUAAGUACCAAGUUGUUCAGGAAAAAUAUCUCACAACACUUCCAAUCAGAAUUCAGAGGAAAUGUCACCUACGUAAACUGCAACUUGACCAACAGUUACUUACAGAGAACCAGUUUAAGGUUUAUUUUCCACCACUGUGA